GUGAAUCAUCAAAUUUUUGAACGCAAAUUGCACUCUCCGGUUUUCCGGGAGCGUAUGCCUGUUUGAGGGUCAGCCUAAAAAAAACGACAUUUGUGCUGGUUUAUUGUUACUUUCGUCGGGGGUGGGUUAUCUUAAAUCUCGGGUUAAGCGGCUUAAAAAUUUUUUUUACGGUUCUAAGAAUUGUUCUUAGAUUUUUCUUUGAAGGUUAAAGGAUCUGAUUGCUUAU
rnacentral:misc_RNA from 1 species